ensembl:misc_RNA Metazoa_SRP Metazoan signal recognition particle RNA
GCUGGGCAUGGUGGCGCAUGCCUGUAAUCCCAGCUACUCAGGAGGCUGAGGCAGGAGAAUCGCUUGAACCUGGGAGGCGGAGGUUGCAGUGAACUGAGAUCACACCACUGCACCCCAGCUUGGGUGACAGAGCGAGACUCUGUCUCAA